GACGAGGUCCACAAACGUUAUUCGGAAUUACUGGGCUUAAAGCGUGCGUAGGCGGCUUAGCAAGUCGGGUGUGAAAGCCCUCGGCUCAACCGAGGAAUUGCGCCCGAAACUGCUGAGCUAGAGUGAGACAGAGGUGAGCGGAACUGAUGGUGGAGCGGUGAAAUGCGUUGAUAUCAUCAGGAACACCGGUGGCGAAGGCGGCUCACUGGACCACAACUGACGCUGAGGCGCGAAAGCUAGGGGAGCAAACAGG
rnacentral:rRNA from 1 species